rnacentral:lncRNA from 1 species
GGGCAGCAAGCAAUGCUUUUACAAUCCAACUACGAACUUUUCUUUUUUUUUUAAUUUCAAAUUUUUUUUCUUUUUUUUACACUUUGUUGAAUACAAUAGAAAGUUUUGAACACAAUUUUUUUUCAAUUUUUUUUUCAAUUUUUUUUACAAUCUCGUAAUACCGAUUACAACGAUUCUUACUCUAAUUCAGCAAGCUCUGAUACCA